GACGAACGCUGGCGGCGUGCUUAACACAUGCAAGUCGAACGGAAAGGCCCUGCUUUUGUGGGGUGCUCGAGUGGCGAACGGGUGAGUAACACGUGAGUAACCUGCCCUUGACUUUGGGAUAACUUCAGGAAACUGGGGCUAAUACCGGAUAGGAGCUCCUGCUGCAUGGUGGGGGUUGGAAAGUUUCGGCGGUUGGGGAUGGACUCGCGGCUUAUCAGCUUGUUGGUGGGGUAGUGGCUUACCAAGGCUUUGACGGGUAGCCGGCCUGAGAGGGUGACCGGCCACAUUGGGACUGAGAGACGGCCCAGACUCCUACGGGAGGCAGCAGUGGGGAAUAUUGCACAAUGGGCGGAAGCCUGAUGCAGCAACGCCGCGUGCGGGAUGACGGCCUUCGGGUUGUAAACCGCUUUCGCCUGUGACGAAGCGUGAGUGACGGUAAGGGGUAAAGAAGCACCGGCUAACUACG
rnacentral:rRNA from 1 species